GAUGAACGCUGGCGGCGUGCCUAAUACAUGCAAGUCGAGCGAACAGACGAGGAGCUUGCUCCUCUGACGUUAGCGGCGGACGGGUGAGUAACACGUGGAUAACCUACCUAUAAGACUGGGAUAACUUCGGGAAGCCGGAGCUAAUACCGGAUAAUAUAUUGAACCGCAUGGUUCAAUAGUGAAAGACGGUUUUGCUGUCACUUAUAGAUGGAUCCGCGCCGCAUUAGCUAGUUGGUAAGGUAACGGCUUACCAAGGCAACGAUGCGUAGCCGACCUGAGAGGGUAGUCGGCCACGCUGGAGCUGAGACACGGUCCAGACUCCUACGGGAGGCAGCAGUAGGGAAUCUUCCGCAAUGGGCGAAAGCCUGACGGGGCAACGCCGCGUGAGUGAUGAAGGUCUUCGGAUCGUAAAACUCUGUUAUUAGGGAAGAACAAAUGUGUAAGUAACUAUGCACGUCUUGACGGUACCUAAUCAGAAAGCCACGGCUAACUACG
rnacentral:rRNA from 1 species